AUGCUUGCUUGGGCAGCACAUAUACUAAAAUUGGAAUGAUACAGAGAAGAUUAGCAUGGCCCCUGCACAAGGAUGACACGCAAUUUACCUGUAGCUUUUAAUCUUUUU
ensembl:snRNA U6 U6 spliceosomal RNA